rnacentral:lncRNA from 1 species
UGGUACCAUAUAAAAAUGGAGUGAAAUAUAUUUUCUAUGUAUUCAAAGAAUAAUGAUACAGAGAUAUAUACAAGGUGCUGAGAGCCUAAUUUGGAAUAAAUACUAAAAUCAAGUCUAUGAUGCAUCUAAUCCCUUUGAUAUAGCAAUUACAGUUAUUACAAAUAAGUGUAUCCCUGUUAAUUAGUGAUUUGCUGUUACGCUUUCUUUAAUAAAU